rnacentral:misc_RNA from 1 species
AGUAUCCCAAAUUUGCAAUUUAAUUCGUUUUCCAUCAAGCUCAAUGGUUCUGAUCUUGAAAUCAAUGCCUAUGGUUGUGAUGAAACUAGUGGUGAAGGAACCGUCGGAGAACCGCAAAAGAAGGCAACUCUUUCCCACACCGCUGUCGCCGAUCAGCAGAAGCUUGAUGAGAUAAUCGUAAUCGGCUCGAGCUCGUGCAGGUGGAGCAGCCAUUGAGAAGAACGAAGAGUACAGCUACAAGAUCUGGAGAGAACGACAAUGAGAGAUACGACGAGGGGGAUGGCGUCGCUUGGUACGGCGGUACCGAACGGCCGUUGAAAUCGUUUUCCG